rnacentral:rRNA from 1 species
GACAGAGGAGCCAAGCGUUGUCCGGAUUGACUGGGCGUAAAGAGCGCGCAGGCGGUCAAGUAAGUCGAAUGUGAAAGCCCCCGGCUCAACUGGGGAGGGUCAUUCGAUACUGCUCGACUUGAAGGCAGGAGAGGGCAGCAGAAUUCCCGGUGUAGUGGUGAAAUGCGUAGAUAUCGGGAGGAAUACCAGUGGCGAAGGCGGCUGCCUGGCCUGUUCUUGACGCUGAGGCGCGAAAGCUGGGGAAGCAAACGGG